GCCCAGUGCACCAGGAAGAGUGCAGUGGUCCAUUGACCUCUGGGGAGCCAAAGGGCGUGGUCAGCUUUUUUUCGAGGUUAUGGACGGUCUGAGUGACACCAGAGCCCACGCCUCCAACGGCAAGGCCAGCGGCCCUGGAGACGAGGGGCGAGGCCUGGCCGAGCCUCCUCGUCCACUUUUAGCCCUGCCCUGGAACUGACCAGAAGCCAUGCCCUCCUCCCUCGGCCUGCCGGGAGCGCUGCCUCUUCUUCCCAUGUCUUGGGAGCGAGAUCCGUCUCCUCUGACAAACGCGAGAUUCCAGGCCGAACUUUCCCAUGCCACCGUCCCUCAAAAUAGCCCGAGCGGAGCUGUAUUUAUAGCCGUGGUCAAGACCCCUGUUCCCUAUAAAACCCAGAUGACGAACUGCAUUGAGGGAAGCUCAGAGGCGGUCCCCGGAGGACCCACUAUGGCUACUGUUCUGCAGCCGGAGAUGCUUCCAGGCGGCCUCCCGGGAACCUCCCCAGGCUCCGACACCCAGGUUUGGCUACAGUCAGAAAAGAGCCGGGGGUGCACCCAGCCAUUCCCGUUAAGGAACCGUCCUGCCGGGGGCUGCGUGGGGCUGGUACAAGCCUGGGUGGCGGAGAGCUACGGGGGAAAGGCCUUCCCAGAAAGCCUCUGGGCAGCUCUUUUUCAGAUUUGGGGAAUGGUGUUUGGGGUGGAAACCAUUUCAAAUAAUUAAAACAUUUGGUCCCUGUUUAUCCUCUGCUUCCUUCUUCAGGCCUUGUUCUGAAAAUAAACUUUGCUUGGAGUUUCCGGGCUCCUAAAAUUCCCGAGUGUGUCAGUGUCCUGAGAGCCUUGGGCAGAGCUAAUGAUUGGCUUGAGGUUAGCUGGGCCUCUUUCCCCAGGUGAACUGUCUUCACGUUUUCCUCUUCAGUUUUUUUUUUUUUUCCCUCUUUUUCUGGGUAGCAGGUCUCUCUCCUGGGCCUGGAGACAAGCCUCCCUUGUUAACUGUUCCUAAGCGCUCAGUGGAUCAGGAGGGGUGCGUGUAAGAGUGUGUGUGUGUGUGUGUGUGUGUGUGUGUGUGUGUGUGUGUGUCCAUUUGACAAAAAAACAAGAGAGGAAAGAGAACAGCCAAACCACAGCAUGUAGGCCGUGGGUAUUUAAGUCUUCCAUGGACAGUGAGGCAGGAUCCUGGGGCCUGAAAAUCUUCCACGUUGCAAGAGUCUGUUUCUCGGCUCUGUCCCCUUCCCUCUCUGUUGUGGCAGAGGGCAGCCGGAAUGAGGUUUGCAUCCAUGUGUUCUCUUUCUGUGUCCUUACUGUUUGGCUGCCUGUCAAAUCGCAACACAGUCAAAAACCUGCCUCGACUCCAUCAUAUCCCACCAUCUCGUUACCUCCCUUCUGGCUCUGCCACGCCUGCUCUUGCCUGGAACCCGAGAGGCCUUCUCGAUGGUUCUGCCCACCUCCCCUUCGCCCUGUUUCAGUCCACUCAGCAAUGAGUGGCCAGAGGGACCGUCGGAAAACCCCA
rnacentral:lncRNA from 9 species